rnacentral:rRNA from 1 species
GUCGAGCGGAUGAGAGGAGCUUGCUCCUGGAUUCAGCGGCGGACGGGUGAGUAAUGCCUAGGAAUCUGCCUGGUAGUGGGGGACAACGUUUCGAAAGGAACGCUAAUACCGCAUACGUCCUACGGGAGAAAGCAGGGGACCUUCGGGCCUUGCGCUAUCAGAUGAGCCUAGGUCGGAUUAGCUAGUUGGUGAGGUAAUGGCUCACCAAGGCGACGAUCCGUAACUGGUCUGAGAGGAUGAUCAGUCACACUGGAACUGAGACACGGUCCAGACUCCUACGGGAGGCAGCAGUGGGGAAUAUUGGACAAUGGGCGAAAGCCUGAUCCAGCCAUGCCGCGUGUGUGAAGAAGGUCUUCGGAUUGUAAAGCACUUUAAGUUGGGAGGAAGGGUUGUAGAUUAAUACUCUGCAAUUUUGACGUUACCGACAGAAUAAGCACCGGCUAACUCUGUGCCAGCAGCCGCGGUAAUACAGAGGGUGCAAGCGUUAAUCGGAAUUACUGGGCGUAAAGCGCGCGUAGGUGGUUUGUUAAGUUGGAUGUGAAAUCCCCGGGCUCAACCUGGGAACUGCAUCCAAAACUGGCAAGCUAGAGUAUGGUAGAGGGUGGUGGAAUUUCCUGUGUAGCGGUGAAAUGCGUAGAUAUAGGAAGGAACACCAGUGGCGAA